UACGAAGGGUGCAAGCGUUAAUCGGAAUUACUGGGCGUAAAGCGUGCGUAGGCGGUUUGUUAAGUCUGUUGUGAAAUCCCCGGGCUCAACCUGGGAAUGGCAAUGGAUACUGGCAAGCUAGAGUGUGAUAGAGGAUGGUGGAAUUCCCGGUGUAGCGGUGAAAUGCGUAGAGAUCGGGAGGAACAUCAGUGGCGAAGGCGGCCAUCUGGACCGACCCUGACGCUGAGGAGCGAAAGCAUGGGGAGCGAACAGG
rnacentral:rRNA from 1 species